rnacentral:ncRNA from 2 species
CCCCGCGCAGAUCGCGCCGGUGCCCGAAAGGGCUUAAAAUGGGAACGCGGUAAGGGAGUUCGUCCUGAACCCCCGAAGCCGAGGCUGUCCCUGCAACUGUAAGCGGCGAGCAAGAUGCACCGAUCCGAAGCUUUCGGAUCAGCCACUGGGGCAACCUGGGAAGGCGUGCAUCAAGCUUUGACCCGCGAGCCAGGAGACCUGCCGGCGUGGGUCGCUCACU